AGCGUGUGCUCCUGUAAGUCGCUCUGGAUAAAAGCGUCUGCUAAAUUACUUAAA
rfam:Salmo salar isolate Sally breed double haploid chromosome ssa25, whole genome shotgun sequence.